CCAGACCUCCUUAUCAAAGACUAAUCUCAUCAGAUCUCAGAAGCUAAGCAGGGUUGGGCCUGAUUAGUCCUUGGAUGAAGACUCCAGGGAAUACCAGGUG
ensembl:rRNA 5S_rRNA 5S ribosomal RNA